rnacentral:rRNA from 1 species
CCCGUUGAGUUUAAGCAUAUCAAUAAGCAAAGGAAAAGAAACUUACAAGGAUUCCCUUAGUAACGGCGAGCAAACCGGGAACAUACCAGGCUUAGAAUCGGGCGGCUCCGUCGUCCGAAUUGUAGUUUGGAGAAGCGUCUUUAGCGGCGGACCGGGACCAAGUCCCCUGGAAGGGAGCACCACAGAGGGUGAGAGCCCCGUUGUACCCGAAUCCUAUCGCACCACGAGAUGAUGUCUACGAGUUGGGUUGUUUGGGAAUGCAACCCAAAUCGGGAGGUGAAUUCCUUCCAGGCUAAAUACGGGCGAGAGACCGCUAGAAAACAAGUACCACGAGGGAAAGAUGAAAAGGACUUUGAAAAGAGAGUGAAAAGUGCUUGAAAUUGUCGAGAGGGAAGCGGAUGGGGGCCGGCGAUGUGCCUCGGUCGAAUGUGGAACGGUGAUGAGCCGGUCCGCCGAUUCACUCGAGGCGUGGAUCAACGUGGAUUUGGGGGGGGGGGGGGGGAGCCCGGGCUNNNNNNNNNNNNNNNNNNNNNGUCGGUAGAACGCCGUCUUCUUGAUUGUGGUAGGCAACACGCACCCCUGGCAUUCUUUGGCAUUUGCGCGCUCUACAUACUGGCUUGUGGGUUCCCCAUUCGACUCGUCUUGAAACACAA